GUUUACAGAAACCCAAUCACUGUUGGUUGGCUUGAAGACAGGAUCUCUGCCUACAAACUUUUCAUAGUUUAGGAGAAAAAUCCUAUUAAUCAUCCAAGGUUCAACCAAGAAGAGAGGUCACUCUAAGUAUUUAUAACAGAGGACUCUCAUUGCCCAGGUUAUAGGAAGACUUUGAGGCCAGAGCACAGUGACAUUGGAGGGAGCCGCAACCCUCCCUGGGUUGAAGGAACUAAGGAGAAUGUGGCAGAAUUGGCCGGAAGCAGAAUUGCCUGUUUCCAGUGAGGCCCCCUUGCCCUCUUGGAAGCAAUUGCUGUGUAGGAAGUCUGAACACCUCACAGGAGAUGGAGGCCAGUUCCUGCCUGCUGUAGCCACCCAGCUGAAGGGGGUCCAGACACGAGUGGAGGCAUUGUGACCUCCAGCCUCAGCAGACACCUCCACACUGCGCAGGGCAGAGCAACCACGCCACCGAGUGAGCCCCAUUUGCAGACUUUGAGCAAAUAAUGAUUGUGCACGUUGGAUCAUUUAUUGAGUUUCUCUCGUACACCAAGCACUGGUUGGAUCCCAUGCUUGUUGGUGACAGAACUGCUGUGAUGCCAGUCCUGCGUCCCCUUCAGCCUGUGAAGGAGGAGCACCAUGAACCAGCCAACUAACACGUGUCUAAUCACAUAAAGGGAACUGAACACCAGAGAGCCACAGUCACUUUCCGAAGGUCACACAGCAAGUGCAAAUGAGGCCUCAUCCUCAGGGCUGGGUUCCAGGCCUGCUGGGCAGGUCGGUUACUGCUGCACAAAAUUUCUGUUAUCCUAAAAUUGUUUCAGACAAGCACCAAAGGACGUCCCAUAGUUCUGCUUGACUAAGGUUUAAUGAAGUUAAUGUUCAUACUUUCCACUCUAUUUUUCC
rnacentral:lncRNA from 10 species